AUACUUACCUGGCAGGAGAUACCAUGAUCAUGAAGGUGGUUUGCAGGGCGAGGCUCAGCCAUUGCACUUCGGUUGUGCUGACCCGUGCGAAUUCCCCAAAUGUGGGAAUCUCGACUGCAUGGUGUGGUAGUGGGGGACCUCAAGUCCGCGCUCUCCCCUG